rnacentral:misc_RNA from 1 species
GCGACUAAGAGCGAAUUAACUCCACUCCGCCGUCGGAGAAUCAGAAACAGUAUUCUGAAUGGACAAGGGUAAAGGUUUGAUGGUGGACGGCCGGCGAUGGGCCGUCGAUUUCUCCGACAAUUCUUCAUCGAAUUCGACUCGCGAUAUUACUGAUCCGCCCGGUUUCACUCGUGCUUCUCAAGAUCAAGACGAUUCCACUCUCAGCCGCCAAAAGAAGGAUGCCGAAUCCAAUUGGAAGGCACAGAAAGCUUGGGAAGUGGCACAGGCGCCUUUGAAGAAUUUGUUCAUGAUGGGCUUCAUGAUGUGGAUG